UAGCCUAGUGGUUAAGGCUGUGGAUCGCCAAUCCGGAGACAGCGGGUUCGAUUCCCGU
rnacentral:tRNA from 1 species